rnacentral:rRNA from 1 species
GAUGAACGCUGGCGGCGUGCCUAAUACAUGCAAGUCGAGCGAACGGACGAGAAGCUUGCUUCUCUGAUGUUAGCGGCGGACGGGUGAGUAACACGUGGAUAACCUACCUAUAAGACUGGGAUAACUUCGGGAAGCCGGAGCUAAUACCGGAUAAUAUUUUGAACCGCAUGGUUCAAAAGUGAAAGACGGUCUUGCUGUCACUUAUAGAUGGAUCCGCGCUGCAUUAGCUAGUUGGUAAGGUAACGGCUUACCAAGGCAACGAUGCAUAGCCGACCUGAGAGGGUGAUCGGCCACACUGGACCUGAGACACGGUCCAGACUCCUACGGGAGGCAGCAGUAGGGAAUCUUCCGCAAUGGGCGAAAGCCUGACGGAGCAACGCCGCGUGAGUGAUGAAGGUCUUCGGAUCGUAAAACUCUGUUAUUAGGGAAGAACAUAUGUGUAAGUAACUGUGCACAUCUUGACGGUACCUAAUCAGAAAGCCACGGCUAACUACGUG